ACCUUCUCCAAAAUAAACUUUACCCUUGCAAAAGGUCAGUGAAGUAAUUAACAAAUUGAAUAUUUGCACUUGCCAUGUGUUGUCUAUUCAUUCGUCUACUUUUACAAUUGUGUACUUUCUUUAACAUUUCCCUCCUCACCUUUCCUCUCUCUUCACGAUUCAAAUUAUCAUUCUCUCUUCUCUCUUCUCUCUUCUCAAACCCUAAAAGUGAUUGAACAAGCAAAACCUAGGACACGCCUCCCCGCCGUCCAAACAGUUGAAGCACAGAAGAUAAAUCAGUUUUGUCAUCUUUAUUGAUUUCUCAUAUCUUUGUUGUAUUUUCAUGUUUGAAGCUAUUAUUCAAAAUUUAAAGGUAGUGUUUGAAGAUUCAAAGGUAUUCGUUUGGAAAAUAGCUUUGAAGAAAAUGUAUAGAUCUACUUUUGUGUGUCUUAAUUGUGUUAACAUGGAUUUCAACUGGUUUGAAGCUAUUAUUUUAUGGUUUAUGAUGUUUUUGUUUGGAUUAAUUUGUUCUGAGUUCUAAUUUUUGUUUCACUUUGCUGUGUUCUUUGAUUUUUUCCCAUUUUUUCCAUUUAUGCGUGGCAAGAAGAUACAUCCAGAUCCAGUAAAUGUAUUCUUUAAUCUCAUACAUGGUAGAACGUGUCGGUACCGGUAUUUUUGGUGUUGCUUAUCAGAAUGCACCAAUGGCGGCGAUCGACGACAUGUACCAAUUCCUUUCCGCGUGUAUAUUGUCAAUUGAUGGACGAUUUUGAGACUCCCCUUUCAAUUUUGGACUGCUGAAUUUGUUAUUUAUAAGCGGAAAGAGAUGAGAAAGAUUAGUCAAAGAAGAUUUUACACUUGUGAUGAAGGAGUUUGAAGAGCUUAGCAUUGAUCAGUCUGGUAAUAAAAGUGAUGCCAAGUCUCGAAAACUUUCAAUUCGCAACCAACUUUCGCUGUUGGUUGGAGAUAGGGACGAUGACUUCACCAUUCCCUUAGGUAAAAACUUGAAGAAAGUGAGUGCAAAAUUCUUAACAACUUCACAAAGGAGAAAUAUCAAGAGACAAAAUUAUCUAAAUAAAGUUUCUCAAAGAAAUGAUUCAACUUUUUUUGCAACUAUAUGAGCAUUUGAGAUUCUUCCACCUCUUAUAAUACUAGGAAUAUCUAUAUUAACUGGUUAUUAUGUAUAGCUUUUACCUUAAGACAUGAUCAAUUUUCUCCUGAUUUCUGUAAAUAUUUCAAGCAGGUGUUAGAACCUUGACCAGGUCAAUACUAUAUACCAUAGACUAUAGUUUAAUUUAAUUGAAUAUUUUGGUGUAGAUUUCUUGUAGGAGUGUUUAUGUAUAGUGUUAUAUUUUGCAACUUUUGUGUGGUUGAAGUGUGAGGAAAUUUUGUCAGUCUAUCUUUGAAAUAUUUCUUUAACUGUGGUAUGUGAUUCUUUUAAAAUCUUAUUUUUUUAUCAAUUCUACAUGGUCUUAAGAAAAGUAAUAUCUAUAUUUUAAUUUGUAAAUGCUUGUGGUUUGGAACAAACAAGUUGCGGUAUUGUUGAUAUUAUGUGAGGAAGGUGCUUACCUCUUGCAAUGAUUUGCAUCAAAAGAAGCAAUUAAGUUACAUUAUUGCACGUAAUGUAAGUCCUAGAUUCUGUCCUAUUGCUCUGAAUAUGUCUACGGAUUUUCCUCUUGGUGAUAUAAUAGAUGUA